CUCUAGUAAAUAUUUAUUAAUUAUAUAUUUACAAAACAAGAGUCUUUACAAAGUCUAUAAAUUUUACUAUCUACAAUAUUAUAUUAAAUACAGUAAUUUCAUAGAUAUUUGCAUCUUCUGCACAUCCUUUUGGGACUUUUAGCUUGUUUUAAGAAUUGCCAUUGUUACUAGGCCUGAAAAUACAUCAAGGAACAUAUUCAUUAGUCAUCUUUGGAGAAAGCAUUUAAUUAAUAAUUCAUCUUUAUAUAUAAACUUUAUGAAUAACUCGUUUGAAACAGUACAGCUAUAUGCCAAUUUCGAAGAACCAUCCAACGACCGCAGAUAAUACAGAAAAUUUAAUAUUCUGAGCCUAACAU